GUGAACGCUGGCGGUCGGCCUAACCCAUGCAGGUCGAACGGCAGCACAGUAAUAGCUUGCUCUUACGGGUGGCGAGUGGCGGACGGGUGAGGAAUACAUCGGAAUCUACUUUUUCGUGGGUGAUAACGUAGGGAAACUUACGCUAAUACCGCAUACGACCUACGGGUGAAAGCAGGGGAUCUUCGGACCUUGCGCGAUUGAAUGAGCCGAUGUCGGAUUAGCUAGUUGGCGGGGUAAAGGCCCACCAAGGCGACGAUCCGUAGCUGGUCUGAGAGGAUGAUCAGCCACACUGGAACUGAGACACGGUCCAGACUCCUACGGGAGGCAGCAGUGGGGAAUAUUGGACAAUGGGCGCAAGCCUGAUCCAGCCAUACCGCGUGGGUGAAGAAGGCCUUCGGGUUGUAAAGCCCUUUUGUUGGGAAAGAAAAGCAGCAGGUUAAUACCCCGCUGUUCUGACGGUACCCAAAGAAUAAGCACCGGCUAACUUCGUG
rnacentral:rRNA from 1 species